GAUUUUAUUGGUCCAUCUAAUGUAUGCAGGUUGAAUCAAAUUCAUCUGGGAUGACCCCUGAACCCAAAUCGCAUGCACCCUAUGAAUCAGGUCCUCUUAGAUUCUGAUUCAGCCUCUCAAACCCACUCUUCAGCUUGUGUGCACACCGUUCACAGAGCCACAUCUAAACCUUUUUUAUCCACCCAGCCAUCCCAAGUUCAUGCAAUCGGACAUCUUACAUAGCCAUGAGUCCCACUCUCGUGUCCAAAGAACAGUGCCGUGUGCACCUUCUUUAGCCAAGAUCCCAACAUUCUAGCUCUCCCACGUUUCCUCCGCAUCCGUUUCUUCCUCACAUCCUGAACAACUUCCUUUCACGAACCCGAUC
rnacentral:lncRNA from 1 species